UCGGCACCCUCAGCUGACGGAAGUGUCGCCUACUGUGAGGUUGCCAAGGAGAAACGUCUCUCAUACAAAACCCCUAAAAAGAAAGUCUCGAACAACAGUGUCAUGUCGGCACGGUCAUUCCAAUUGUUCACAGUGUUUCGAAAGGUCAUUUGGACAGUCCCGGGCCACAAAAGCAGUUGGGAGGAGGAACCGCAUCAUCGGCGGUACCGCAUGUUGGAGAGAAGGAAAAUCAGGGCAUGCACUGUAGGACAUCACAAGGGGCGUGGCUGGGAGCCCACAUGGUUCGUGUGGGAACCCCCCUGGAGUUUCUUUCCCAGUCAGAUCAUGCACCUAGGACUUUUGUUAGGCUCACGAGGGGUCAGUUUGUUGGCAUGCACUGGGAAUCAUUGCUAGGAAAAUGUCAGAGGUCCUGCUGUGUGGCAGUCCACGCUACCAGGAUUCUCGUGUCACUUGUGACCACACCUUGCUUAACCAGUAUUGUGGUAUUUACAAGCAUUACUAUUUUUCUGCCAUGUCCAUGCCUGCUUUUGUCAGCAGCAGGAGAGGCAGAUUCACUGCGCUGACCCUUCUGAAGGUAAAACUGUUGACGAAGCUGUGCUCUUCAGUAUGCACAGCUGCUAUUACAUUGCCACAAAAGUAACCUUGCUCAUAUGUGCAGGAGCCUUAGUUCACGUGCAGUUGUGUUGCUCAGUGACAUACUUUGCUCUUCCAUAUAAGCUGCUGGCUUGUUUGCAGUCAAGUUUUACGCUAAGAUCAACUUACCACUCCAUUUAGCACUUCACAAUGCCUUUUUAUUGUCACACUUAUGUGCAGCACGUUACUGUUACACCUAGAACAAACCAAAAGUAAGCAUUGUUUGCAGUGGUGCCGGUGGCCAAAAAUAGGAAUUCUGCAAUCCUUCACAUUGUUAGCAUGUGUGGACAAGACCGGCAUUAACCAAGAUACGACAGCAUUAUAACGGUGUUGAAGUUUAAGUAGUAGUAUUUGACAAGUAUUCAACUAGUAUUUGACAGUGAGGCAAUAAUACAUAACCUAUAAUACUUCGCGAUAUUCAUCAUGAUCAAAAUCUUUAGAAUAACAUUGUGUGAAUUUUCCACACCUGCUGUGAGAAAUGUUUGCGUAUGGGUUAUGAGUGUCUCUGCAGCACGCUCCAUGCAUUUUCCGCGUCUUGUCGCAUUUUGUGGUCAUUCCAACUCGCUUCAGUGGCUGUACGGCUACAGCAUUUUACUGCUGAACUUGAAGUCCGGGUUCAAUUCCCGGCCACAUUGGUCACAUUCCAAUGGAGGUGGAAUGCAAGAAUGCUCAUAUACUACAAUGUUCAUUACACAUAGCCCCAGCUGGUGGAAGUUAAUUCAAAGGCCCCCACUAGGGCACACAUCAUAGCCAAAUUGCCUUACCAAGUUAAGUCCUGUGGAUUAAUACAGUCAUUCAGUCUUUCACCAUGUAAUAAACUUAAUUCUAUUCUUUUUUUUGUAUUAGUGCUUCAGAAGCAGUAAGGUUGCAAGAGUGACUACAGAGGCCAUUAAUGGUAUGUCAUACUAAAAGUCCACAUAAAUGAACUUUUAGCAUAACACGACACCAUUGGUGCAAACGCAAUCAGUAGUACCACCAACUGGUUACUGUAGUGCAGGUUGUUCCUUUUUCAAAGAAACAGUGCCGUCUGUGACCAGAAGAAUGAGGUAAACUGCUUAACAAGGGUGCGAUCGGAGAUAUUUUGUUCGAUACGCGUUCUGUUCAGUUGCUGCAACGUCACAAAGUUGCAGUAUGCAAAAUUUGUGACAGCGGGGCGGAGAGAGCAGCCAAUCGGGAAGCAGUCACCUCCCCGGAAGUUUACCUCCGUCGUUUGUCGUCUGCUUGCAAACAGUAUACUACAAAGCCAAAUGUUUCUCGUCUUCCAAUUGAAUGAAAUAUUUAUCUAAAUAAAUGUAUUUUUUCUUCUCAAGUCCAAACACGUUUUCAAAUAGUAGUACGUGUGACUACUGCAAUUUAUAACUAUUAGGUUCUUUCCGUCUUCCCUAGGUGGUGUCGCGCACAGCGAGAAGGAAAAAGAAAAAAAAAAGGCGGGAAGAGUGGCGCACUUUUCAAGAGGCAGCGACAACAUCCCAGUGGCUCGCUGGCACCGAUGAUGUUGUCGAUUUCUCUGUACAACCAACGAAUUAUUUGUUCCGAGAAAGAAAAACAACGCCGGAAUUCACUUUCUGUCAUUUCUUCAAACGCGUUUCGCACCGCCACCCGCUCUCCUCCUUCCUCUAGAAACGCCAGCACAACAACCUAAGUUUCCAAUGGAAGCGCCAUUUUCUAGAAUUAAACUAUGGAUCGGAUUCAAACGUGCCAUUCCGCAGCCGAAAAGGCCGCCUGUUGGAUCCAAUCCAAUCCACCAGACGCGCUAUGCGAAGCCGUAUGAUCGCUCUAAACUUCUCAACUCCCGUCGCGUUCGGAUGAAAUGCUCGGUGGGCGGAUGAUUGACAGGAGCGUGUCGUCAUUUUGACAUCACCAAAGAGGGGGCGGCGCCCCGCGGCUGGCGACGUAGGCGCGAAGUAGGCCAAUCGUGCACGCCGGUAACCGAACAAACGCGCCAAACAACCAUCUCCGAUCGCACCCCAAGUGUCAUCCCACUGAUACAAGUUUGUCCUUCUUCUGACAGAUGGCACCACAUUUAUUUACUAUUAGGAAACCAACCAGUCAGAACCAGAAGCACCACCAAGUGCACCUCUUUGCGAAAAUUCGAGUGUGAGCAGACCAGCGGUUUUAUUGGCAGAGCGAUUUACGCAUAUUUCCCUGAGCAAAAGCUAGUGCCAAUUGCUAGAGGGGUUUAUUGCACUUGUACCAGCUCCCUGUUGUGAUUACAUACGAAUGUGAUACAUUAGCAGACACGGUGAAAUUUGUACCCAUUUGCACAGCAAUAGUUAUUCUUUGCACAAGGCUCCACGUAGUUGCUGCGAGGUUGCUUCAAGCGAAGGCAUUGGCAGUAGCCUUGCUAGAAUUGCUGCCACUGUUCUUCCAUAGUUGUAGUACACUGAUGCAACAAAUUUCUCGAACAACAUUUUAACAUCCUUUUGACACUGCACUGCUUGCAAGAAAUGCUAAGAGCACUCCAGUUCUAACCUGAUAUAACUAUUGCAUUUAUUAUUUUGGCUGAGUGCAUGCAAUGAGUCUACCUGCUUGUUAAAUUUCCGUAGGUGCACAGCAGAUGAUCAGUAUUUCUUUCGGCAACUCUUUAGCGGCUAGUGUCAUAGCACAGUAUUCAAAUCCUUGAAUUCUUCAGCCUAAUCAGACUUUCUGGUCUGUAGUCUUUUGACGCAGGAUAGAAUACUAGCCCAGGCUUACCAACUCAUAUUUGACAGUGCAGCCAGUGUCACAAGUGCUGCCAAGCCACGAGUUCUCGCCUGCCUGCUGCGGUGUGUUACAAGCAGUUAGGGGGGUCACAACGGGCACGUCAUGCAAAAUGCUUGAAUGUGAAGAAGGCGACAAACCGAGGGGUUAAUUUUUCUUUACUGACGACCAUAUGAAGCCAACAGAUAAUGAAGCCAAGGAAAGCAUGGGGGAAAUUAAUUGUAGCUUUAAUUGAAGUGUGUAAAGGGAAAUGAAAGUGGACAAAAGAAAAAGAAUUUGCUGCCGGCGGAAGCUGAACCCACAAUUUCAGCCUGUUCACUAGACCCAUUCGCUUCCACAGCUAGCGAUCCACCGGCCGCGAUGGCCAAGGACAAAGUCGAGGGUGACUGGCGAUAUGCCAGCCACUCAAAUCAAAAAGUGACUGUUUCUGGCUAUUCUUCAUAGAUCGCAGCACAUUGGAGGCUUUUUUCUAAUUGUUCUUGGUUUUGCACACCAGAUGGAUUUAUUUGUCUACACUUUGAGCAGGAGUUGUUUGUAAAACAAUGGAGUGCAGUAUGGAAAUGCGAGAAGCAUUCCUAAUUGCGAGUAAGAAAAAAAUAGAUGCUUGAGCAUUUCGUGAUUUGCCUCAACAAAUCGAGAAUUUUAUAGCACACUUUAAGAACCGUUGCACUACUACACGUAAUUCGUCCUCUGGCGAAAGCACCUGUGCAGCAUAAUGGUCAAUUUGAUGCUAGUGACACCAGAAAUUCAGUUGAUAGUUUGCACUUGUCAUGUACUGUAUUUCUUUUGUAUAUUUAGCAAGUUGGGGAGUCAUAGUCAGUGAAAUAAAGUACACUGACUAGCACUUUUUGCUCCAUUGCCGAAGCCUGCAUUGUUUUGCACUUUGCAGCACGGAGCAAGCCAGAACCGUUGAUUGGCAGCCGUUGUAGCUGAUGGCACAGCCCACAUUCCCAGUUUUAAUGGCAUCUCUCAUAUUCAUAAUGCCAUGGUCAGGGGUAGCUUAAGAAAGCUUCUUAUAUUCACUCUCUCUUGGAACACAUCUUUGGAACACUACUACUCCUAAUUGGUAAGCGGGCAUUUUAUGUGCUCAUAUUACGCAUCGCCAACCACAUCACAACUGCUCAACAUUCUUUUCGAAGCAGGGUUUUUAUCGCAUUGACCGAGAGGUGCAGGUUCUUCAUAUCUAACGCCAAAGUGUAACGGGGCCCAUGCUUUUGUUGUGUCUAGCAGCGAACCACUGUGACCAAUAAAAGUUGCUUUUUUCCAUUUCAA